rnacentral:rRNA from 1 species
AUUGAACGCUGGCGGCAUGCCUUACACAUGCAAGUCGAACGGCAGCACGGGUGCUUGCCCCUGGUGGCGAGUGGCGAACGGGUGAGUAAUACAUCGGAACAUGUCCUGUAGUGGGGGAUAGCCCGGCGAAAGCCGGAUUAAUACCGCAUACGAUCUACGGGUGAAAGCGGGGGACCUUCGGCCCUCGCGCUAUAGGGUUGGCCGAUGGCUGAUUAGCUAGUUGGUGGGGUAAAGGCCUACCAAGGCGACGAUCAGUAGCUGGUCUGAGAGGACGACCAGCCACACUGGGACUGAGACACGGCCCAGACUCCUACGGGAGGCAGCAGUGGGGAAUUUUGGACAAUGGGCGAAAGCCUGAUCCAGCAAUGCCGCGUGUGUGAAGAAGGCCUUCGGGUUGUAAAGCACUUUUGUCCGGAAAGAAAUCCUUGGCCCUAAUACGGUCGGGGGAUGACGGUACCGGAAGAAUAAGCACCGGCUAACUACGUG